UUACAGCUCGACCUGAGAUCAGCGGAGAACGAGCGCGUGGGGAACAUCACCGUGGCUGCCUGGCAGAUGGAGGACAGAGCAGACCAGAGGGUGUCGACCGGCUGGCUGCCAGACGGCAUCAACGGGCGGACGGUGCUGCCGGUCGAUGAGAGCCUCACAGAGUCGAUGGGAGUCAGAAUCAAGUACGCCUCGCUAUGCAAAGACCCCCUGCUGC